UAACUUAAAGCAUAUCAAUAAGCGGAGGAAAAGAAACCAACAGGGAUUGCCUCAGUAACUGCGAGUGAAGCGGCAAAAGCUCAAAUUUGAAAUCUGGUACCUCUGGGUGCCCGAGUUGUAAUUUGGAGAGGCAACUUCGGAGAGGGCGCUGGCUUAAGUUCCUUGGAACAGGACGUCACAGAGGGUGAGAAUCCCGUGCGUGGCUGGCUGUCCUUCUUCAUGUGAAGUGUCUUCGACGAGUCGAGUUGUUUGGGAAUGCAGCUCAAAAUGGGUGGUAAACUCCAUCUAAGGCUAAAUACUGGCGAGAGACCGAUAGCGCACAAGUAGAGUGAUCGAAAGAUGAAAAGCACUUUGAAAAGAGAGUUAAACAGUACGUGAAAUUGUUGAAAGGGAAGCGCUUGAGACCAGACUCGGUGAUUGGUGAUCAGCGGUAGCUUUUGCUCCGUGCACUUGCCUUUUACCGGGCCAGCAUCAGUUGCAGGGGUGGGAUAAAGACCUAGGGAAUGUGGCUCCCUUCGGGGAGUGUUAUAGCCCUGGGUGUAAUGCUGCCUGUUGCGACUGAGGACCGCGCUUUGGCUAGGAUGCUGGCAUAAUGGUCUUCAGCGACCCGUCUUGAAACACCGGACCA
rnacentral:rRNA from 1 species